rnacentral:rRNA from 1 species
AACGUAGGUCACAAGCGUUGUCCGGAAUUACUGGGUGUAAAGGGAGCGCAGGCGGGAGAACAAGUUGGAAGUGAAAUCCAUGGGCUCAACCCAUGAACUGCUUUCAAAACUGUUUUUCUUGAGUAGUGCAGAGGUAGGCGGAAUUCCCGGUGUAGCGGUGGAAUGCGUAGAUAUCGGGAGGAACACCAGUGGCGAAGGCGGCCUACUGGGCAUCAACUGACGCUGAGGCUCGAAAGUGUGGGUAGCAAACAGG